rnacentral:rRNA from 1 species
AUUGAACGCUGGCGGCAGGCCUAACACAUGCAAGUCGAGCGAGCGGCGGACGGGUGAGUAAUGCCUGGGAAUUGCCCAGUCGAGGGGGAUAACAGUUGGAAACGACUGCUAAUACCGCAUACGAUUGGAUUGCCCAGGUGGGAUUAGCUAGUUGGUGAGGUAAUGGCUCACCAAGGCGACGAUCCCUAGCUGGUCUGAGAGGAUGAUAAGCCACACUGGAACGGAGACACGGUCAAGACUCCUACGGGAGGCAGCAGUGGGGAAUAUUGCACAAGGGGGGAAAACCUGAUGCAGACAGGCAGCGUGUGUGAAGAAGGCCUUCGGGUUGUAAAGCAAGUGAAGCGAGUAGGCGUUACUAACAGAAGAAGCACCGGAGAACGCCGUGCCAGCAGCCGCGGUAAUUC